rnacentral:rRNA from 1 species
UACGUAGGGUGCGAGCGUUGUCCGGAAUUAUUGGGCGUAAAGAGCUCGUAGGCGGUUUGUUGCGUCUAUCGUGAAAACCUGCAGCUUAACUGUGGGCUUGCGGUGGAUACGGGCAGACUAGAGUGCUGUAGGGGAGACUGGAAUUCCUGGUGUAGCGGUGAAAUGCGCAGAUAUCAGGAGGAACACCGGUGGCGAAGGCGGGUCUCUGGGCAGUAACUGACGCUGAGGAGCGAAAGCGUGGGGAGCGAACAGG